CCUAGUAUAUAUAACGCAAUGGUACCACCUGAAUCCAUACCGAACUCAGAAGUGAAACGUUGUAGUGCCGAUGGUAGUAUGGGGUUUCCCCAUGUAAGAGUAGGAAAAUACUAGGA
rnacentral:rRNA from 1 species